rnacentral:rRNA from 1 species
UGGGGAAUAUUGGACAAUGGGGGCAACCCUGAUCCAGCCAUGCCGCGUGUGUGAAGAAGGCCUUUUGGUUGUAAAGCACUUUAAGCAGUGAAGAAGACUCCAUGGUUAAUACCCAUGGACGAUGACAUUAGCUGCAGAAUAAGCACCGGCUAACUCUGUGCCAGCAGCCGCGGUAAUACAGAGGGUGCAAGCGUUAAUCGGAAUUACUGGGCGUAAAGCGAGCGUAGGUGGCUUGAUAAGUCAGAUGUGAAAGCCCCGGGCUUAACCUGGGAACGGCAUCUGAUACUGUUAGGCUAGAGUAGGUGAGAGGAAGGUAGAAUUCCAGGUGUAGCGGUGAAAUGCGUAGAGAUCUGGUGGAAUACCGAUGGCGAAGGCAGCCUUCUGGCAUCAUACUGACACUGAGGUUCGAAAGCGUGGGUAGCAAACA